rnacentral:lncRNA from 1 species
UGGGACUUGAUGGAUGGCUGAGAUGACUUGCAGUUGGAGUUGUGGUAUAGUAGCUUAGAUAUGGCUAGGGCACGGAACAAGGGAGAAAAUACGUGAACUUGGGGUGGCCAUGUGUUGAAAAGAAAAAUUGGGGUCGACUCUAAUUGGUUAGGAAGAUCCGAUUCAUGGGGUGCAUGCGAUUUGGGUUUAGGGGUCAUCCCAGAUGAAUUUGAUUCGACCUGCAUACAUUAGAUGGACCAAUAAAAUCAAGCAAAAUCGAAUUAUUUUUAAUAAUGCAAUGAUGAAGGUAACACAAAUUUUUAGUUGAAUUUACAAAAUAUGUGAAUUAAAAUAAUGAUAAGUGCUAUGAAUAAGAUAUUAAUUUAUGCAUUAUUUAGCACUUAUCACUUGCCCAGGCCAGUUGGACCAAGAAUUCGUGUAACCGCCUAUAACCAUACUUAGCUGACAACAACCGCUUAACGGAGUUGGGCAGAUAAGAUGGUAGCCACGACCCUGAUCGGAACUUUUCUAGACAGAAAGGAAUUAGCCAAAUUCAAUUAGCCUAAAGACUCAUUGUAGUUUCUAAGUUAAGUUGGCUAGUUGAGUUUUAAAUUAGGCUUGGGUUCUAGAUUUAUGAGGGUAGUUGUUUUGGGCUAAGGAAAGGUGAUGAAAUCCUUCCCUUAUGUUGUAAUUAGAAUGCCCUUAAUAUGAUUUAUGAUGGAUGCAACUAUUUUAAAUGUCCACAUAAGUUGAGAUUUCAAAUUUCAAAUUUCAAAUUUCGAAUUUAAACUUUUGAAUUUUGAAUUUCAGAUUUGAAUUUUAGUUUUCAGCUUUUGAAUUUCAAAUUUCAAAUUUCAAGUUUAAAUUUCAAAUUUAAAUUUUGGGAUCUCA